rnacentral:rRNA from 1 species
GACAGAGGGGGGCAAGCGUUGCUCGGAAUUACUGGGCGUAAAGGGCUCGUAGGCGGCCAACUAAGUCAGACGUGAAAUCCCCGGGCUCAACCUGGGAACUGCAUUUGUGACUGCACGGCUGGAGUGCGGCAGAGGGGGGAUGGAAUUCCGCGUGUAGCAGUGAAAUGCGUAGAUAUGCGGAGGAACACCGGUGGCGAAGGCGGGUCUCUGGGCCGAUACUGACGCUGAGGAGCGAAAGCGUGGGGAGCGAACAGG